UACAGAGGGUGCGAGCGUUGUUCGGAAUUAUUGGGCGUAAAGGGCGCGUAGGCGGUGCCACAAGUCACUUGUGAAAUCCCCGGGCUUAACUCGGGGCCUGCAGGCGAAACUGUGGUGCUGGAGUAUGGGAGAGGUGCGUGGAAUUCCCGGUGUAGCGGUGAAAUGCGUAGAUAUCAGGAGGAAUACCGGUGGCGAAAGCGACUCUCUGGACGGUAACUGACGCUGAGGCACGAAAGCGUGGGGAGCAAACAGG
rnacentral:rRNA from 1 species